rnacentral:lncRNA from 1 species
CCCCAUUUGAGUUCAUUUAAAGUGCGCAUUCACUCCCUUUCGAUUCUAACUACUCUAAGCUACUUCUAAACACCUAAAAUUCAUUCCUAACAUGAUCAAAAUCUUGAAUCCAUAAUCCAAUUCAAGGUGAGUUAGGAUCAAGUCAAGUGAGGUUAGAUUCCAAGUCAAGUGAAGUUAGAUUCCAAGUCAAGUGAAGUUAGUUUCCAAGUCAAGUGAAG